rnacentral:rRNA from 1 species
CCUACGGGAGGCAGCAGUGAGGAAUAUUGGUCAAUGGGCGAGAGCCUGAACCAGCCAAGUCGCGUGAGGGAGUACUGCCCUAUGGGUUGUAAACCUCUUUUGUCGGGGAGCAAAAGCCGGACGUGUCCGGCUGUGAGAGUACCCGAAGAAAAAGCAUCGGCUAACUCCGUGCCAGCACCCGCGGUAAUACGGAGGAUGCGAGCGUUAUCCGGAUUUAUUGGGUUUAAAGGGUGCGCGAGCGGGUUUUUAAGGCAGCGGUCAACUCGGGGGGUUCAACCUCAUACAGCCGUUGACACUGGGGGUCGAGAGUGUGCUAGAGGUAGGCGGAAUGCGUGGUGUAGCGGUGAAAUGCAUAGAUAUCACGCAGAACCCCGAUUGCGAAGGCAGCAUACUGGUGCACAACUGACGCUCAGGCACGAAAGCGUGGGUAUCGAACAGGAUUAGAUACCCGUGUAGUC